rnacentral:rRNA from 1 species
UACGUAGGGGGCAAGCGUUGUCCGGAAUUAUUGGGCGUAAAGAGCGCGUAGGCGGUCCGGUAAGUCGGUUGUGAAAGUCGGGGGCUCAACCCUCGGAUGCCGAUCGAUACUGUCGGGCUAGAGUCCGGAAGAGGCGAGUGGAAUUCCUGGUGUAGCGGUGAAAUGCGCAGAUAUCAGGAGGAACACCAAUGGCGAAGGCAGCUCGCUGGGACGGUACUGACGUUGAGGCGCGAAAGCGUGGGGAGCAAACAGG